UCCGGUGUACUUUCCUACGUCCCUGGUGUGACCAGGCCGGGGAGCCGUUGGAGGGGUGUGCUGUCUGUUUUACGGGAUCGCUGUGAGCACAGUGGGGAUCGGAACGAGGAGACGAAGGCUGCUGCGGGGGACUAUGCCCCUCGUCUUCCUCCCGGCCCUUCCAGGACCAAGGCCUCGGUUUUGAGGGAGUGCACGGACACUGACCUUCUGACCUCGUGUUGCUGGGGACGCGCCGAGGCUGUGAAUUCCAUGCCCAUUUUCCUCCUGGAGUUUGUCAUUGGAAAUGACCACUGUUUAACUUGUAGGAUGUUUUUACUACAUGUAUUUGAAGUGAAAGGGGAAUAGUAAUACUGAAUUCAUAGUCAUGGAAAUAAAGUCAUGCGUGUAAAUCAUUGGGCAGACAGUCUUUGGCAGACUCAAGAAAUACUGUAAAACUAAUACAACUUGCUUGUGCAUUUUAAUUUUUGACUUAACAAUUUAUUAAACAACAUCUGUGCAGCAUGUUCA